CUCCUGGCUGAUCCGAUGCCAGCAACUGUCAUCUUCCCAAAAUUUAAAUGGACACUUGGAUGUUCUUAUUAUUUUUCUUCUGAAAUGAACAUAGCUGUGAAUUUUUUCUUGGGUGGAAUCAAAUUCUGAUGGAAUUUACAAUAUACUCUGUAUUGUUGUUUUUUAGGUCUUACACAUCUCGUGUACCCAGGGUCAUCCACACCCGUUUUGAACGUUCAUUAGAUGUUUAUCGGCUAGCUGGGGAGGCAUGAAUAAUCUUUAAAAGACCAUGUUUGUACUGUUAAACACAUGCUCCAGAAAUGCUAUACAUGUUCUCUUCUUUGUUCUUUUGGUAAUCUACUUCAUCACUGACUCAAUUGUUGGUUCAACCAGUCUUUGUGGAUUCAGUUCUUGAUAUUAGCAAAUAUUUUUCUGACCGGCAGGUGCAUGUGAGUUACAAGGCAACAUUGAGAACACAAAAGCCAGUAUGUUUGAGCUAUGGGCACAAGCUAGGGGCAGUACCUCCCGGCUGCCCCAGCACUUAAGGCGACUGUCCAAUUCCACUUUCAUCCAUGGAGGCUGUGGUUUAGUUCUCAGGUUUGGCAGCCUUUUCUCUCUACGACUAAGUGUUUUAGUCCUGUCAAAUGAAGCAGUGGUGUUUUUGCAACAUAGAACAGAUAUAUAAGGUGCUUCCAAUUUCUAAAUCCCAGAAUUGGUGAGACCUUAGUUAGUUUGGACUCAUAGCAAUGU
rnacentral:lncRNA from 1 species